rnacentral:lncRNA from 1 species
UGACAGCAAAACUGGGUAUUUAGUCUCCCUGCAUGUGGUUUGGUGCGAGCAGACAGACCUGCAAUCCGGAGUCAUGGAAGGUAGAUGUGCUUUGUUUCAUUUCUCUGCAAAGCUGGCAAACAGCUGAAGCUUAAUUAUUUGACUUGAUUGAUAGGACUGGAGCGGGAGAAACGGAACAGAUGUUCCUCUGAGACUUUGAUUACAGAAGCCUUGUGUGGAUUGGUUUUGUAUUUGUAGCUCAAAGCCAUUGUUGUCCAAAUCAAACUCUGCUAAGUUAUCAAAGCUAUGUAUUUUUUUUCCCUUGAGAACUUAGGGCAUAAAGGGGAGCCCAUGACACUAGGAAAGCCAGCUUACUGCCACGUGCCAUUCCUCUGGCCACUAGGAGGUGCUGUUGCCCUUCAUUGAGGUCUAGAUGUACCUAUUGAUUUGUUUAGAAAAACCAAAUUCUUUAAGACAUUUUACUUACUAUCUAGAAGGAAUAAACUCCGUUUCCCCUACUUAAGAAAGGAGCAAUAUGUUCCCCUUCAGAACACAGCAUUCUAACUGACUUUCCAUUCAUUUUCGCAUUUCACAUACUGCCACAAAGUAGUCUUUGAGUUCACUAGAAAAUUCCAACAGCAUAGUUUUUUUUUAAUAUUUUCUUUUCAUUGUUGUUGAUGUUGUUUGUUAAAAACCUUUCAUAGAUAUUUUAUUUACUUGCUGAAGAUUCAGGGAAUUCUGAGACCCUGAGUUUAGAAACAUCUGGUCUACCUCAGUUAAAUGUUGACUGCUUAGAAAUAGAGCUGAAAUGAUCACCACAGCCAUAAAAUGGUUUGACUAAGAAAGAUUUAUAUAAUGUUUACAAACCUGGAAUCAAGUCAGAUUACCUGAAAGCUAAAGAUUAGGGUUAGAGCAAGUAUUUAAUUCAGGUAUUUUCAAGUCUUAAAACUUGUUUACCUAGUAAAAUUAGGUGUUUUUUCUCACAUAAAAACUCCAUUGAAAUUAUAUGCCCUGAUUUGCAAUAUUUUCCCCAUAAAAAUUAAAUGUGAAAGAAUAGUAAUUUACUAGGUAUGUUUGGGGCGGGAUAUUUUGUUAAUAGGUUUUCUUUUUCCUUCUAACCUGUGUAAUGAGCUUCCGAAAAGAGUAUAACUGUUUUAGAACAAAUUACUUUGUCAUUUUCCUUUCCCUUUUUCUUUACAGUGUUAGGUAUUUUUAAAUGAAAAAUUAUGCACUCUCUGACUUCAAUUUCACUAAUGUAAUUAUUUUCUUGGGAAUUCUUUUAGAUUUAAAUUACCAUCAUAUAAACCUUUCUUAUAGCAAAGCCAGCGUUUGUUUUCUCACCAAACUCCAUGCCAGACUCAUCAUAAAGAAAGCUCAGCCUAAGUAAUUCAAACAGUGCUUAUAGUUUUAGAGGGAGGGUAGCAUUUACUAAAUAUUCCAGCUGGUUGUUUUAUGCACAAGGCUACAGUCAGAACAUAGAAAAAAAAAAACAUUCUGUGAAUGAAACAUUGUAUGUUCAGAUUUUAUAAAAAGACAUUUUUAAAAGCCCAAUUUACAGCCGUAUAUUUUCUUAUGAUGUAAUUUAUGAAAAAGCUGUCUGUACUAACAGGUGCUGUAACACUACUGUUGUUGGGUUUUAUUGUUUGGUGAUAAAUGUAAACAAUAUUUCUAAUGGAAACUAUGUACUGUGAUGUAAAAGUCUGGGCAAAAUGUAUAUAAUCCUUGUAUAUAAUUGUGUAUUUGAUUAUAUUACUGAUUGUAAAUUUAAUAAAACAUGUAAAUAUUCUGGUCUAGUUUUAAAUUUCAGAUUUUUAGAAUCAUUGUACAAAUAUCUAGAAUUUGGUAUGUCUGUUUUCCUUUUGUUUCUCUUUACCCCAGGGCAGUGAAUCCGCAGGCGUUUUGGGGUAGAGAAACCAAUGCAAGCAUCACUUCUAAAACUCAGAUAGCACCCAGUACAAACGAGUUUAAAAACAGUAGUAAUUUUGUGUCACUGUUGGUAACAUUUGUGUCUUGAAUUUACUUAUAUUUAAUAAAAUUACUUGCCCUCUUUU